GUGAAAAUCGAAAUAAGAGAGAGAAAGAGGGAGAGAGUAUCGAAGGCGCGAUCAGAAUUUAGAGAGACGCCGAUUGAGGAAGGAAGGAAGGGUUCUUCCUUAUCUGAUUUCUCAAGCAAUCGAUACUUCAAUUCUCGGCGCUCAAUCUGAAUGCGUCUAUACAUAGAUUUCUAACUCAGAUCGUAAGUAAGCUACUAUCGAAGAAGAAGAAGAAGAAGAAGCUACCAACAUCUGCGAAUUUCCUCGAUUCGACAUCUGACGAGUUCAGACGAGGUUAGCCGUCCAACUCUUUCUCUUCGGAACUUCGAUAUCUCUCUGUCCAAUGUCAAUCUUCUUCCUGCGAAAUCCAAGGUUUUGAUUUCAAUUCCUUGCAUUCACUUAAAUCAUCUUGCCGGAUUUACCUUCUGAAUUGGUUUCGAUUUAACUUCCUACUGCAGCGAUCGUAGAAACGGUUUUUAGUUCUUAGAAUUAAAUUAGGGUUUGAGGGAAUUCGGGACUCUCACCUGUUCAUUAAUUAGGGUUUCCAAAGAUUCAGGAACCUGUUAAUUUUGCUAUCUGAAAGAUUAAAGGGUAAAAACCCUAACUUUUUUUAGUAAGAUUUAUGUGUCGAGAAAUGCGACCAGCAGUUCAUCAUCCACCACGUAGAAUUAAUCUUGAUGAUUUGAAGACUCAGAUAGUUGAGAAAAUAGGGCCAGAACUCUCAAAACAGUAUUUCUAUUAUUUGAAUAGGUUCUUCAAUUACAAGAUAAGCAAGGAUGAUUUCAAUAAGGUUUGUUUACAUGUCAUCGGUAGAGACAAUAUUCCGCUACAUAAUCGUCUCUUUCAAUCUAUUAUUAAAAACGCCUAUGGUUCGAAGAUCCCACCUCCUCCUUCUAAUAAGAAGCAGCAGCAGCAGCAGCAAGUUUCGAAAACUUCCAUUGCAACAGUUGGAAGUAGAGAGCUUCAAUCAGAUUGGAAUAAGAAAACAGAGAGUUUGCCUAAUGGAAAGACCAAUAAUGGAUGCCUGAAACCAUACAUUAGCCAAUCUGUGGCUAAUUUGGAUAAGUUAGAAUUAGCUUCAGAAGUAAAGAAGAUGGAGGAGAAGAAGGAGAAGUCGUCGGCUUGGAGUUUGCUGAAAGCUCCUCUGGGAGUUCCGCUAUGUUCUGCUAGCGUGGGCGGGGCCCACCAUACGCAGCCUGUGAGUAAUAUUGGAUCUUCUUUGUCGUCAUCGGAGAUUGGUGUUCUGUUAGACUCGGCAGGAGUGAAGAAACGAAUGGAACAGAUUGCUUUAGCUCAGGGACUUGAGGGAGGAGUGUCUGCGGAUUGUGCCAAUCUGUUGAAAGCCGGGCUAGAUUCUUACUUAAAGAAUUUGAUAUCUUCAAGUGUUUCAUUAAAUGCAAGGCCACAGCCGACUCCAUCAAGAUACAUGAAUGGUCUCAUUCACGAUAAUCGUUCUAUGCAGAAUUCAAAUCGGGUCGGGUCGAUUUCACUGCAAGACUUUAAGGCUGCAAUGGAGCUGAACCCACUUCAGCUUGGUGAAGAUUGGCCAAUAUUACUGGAGAGAUUAUGCAACCGUUCAUUCAAUCAAUGAAUGAAUACCGCCCUUUCGUUUAUUUGAGACUAUAAUUUUGUGCCCCCUUCCAAGAUAAUGGCCAAGAGAUGAUGAUGAUAACACACAAAUAUGGGCUGAAUCGCACACUGAAAGCCUUAUCUGAAGAGCUCAUGCACUAAACCAUGACCAAUUUGAUCACAUGGCAUGACAAAAUGUUUACAGAUGGUGGCUUCAUAACUGUGGGGUACAGCCCAAAUUUACUUUUACUAUAUAUUGACCUUUUUUUAUGGUAAUAGCAAGUUUUGCAGAUAUGAAUCUGUACUUUGCUCAUAUUUCAGGUAAACAAAAGAGACUAGCAAAACAAACUUUAUUAUUGUCGAUGAAUUCGGUCAGUCAGUCAGUGUCGACUCUGGUUGGACCAAUAGAAACUCCUCCAAACAGCAUGUCGGUGUUGCUGCUGCUGCUGAUUACGUUUGGAACGAUGAUCAGUUGUCAAUUCUGAGUCGAAUCUCCUGAGCAUCUCCCACAUAACUUGAACAUCCUCAUAGCCACAGGUCUGUAUGUCAUCCCUAAGCUUCACUAGCCCAGAACCUAUUUAUGAUAAUAGAUGAUAUUGAAUAAUUUCAGCAGAGCAUAUCUUUAAUUUGUCUAGUUGUGUUAUAUUUUCAAACUAUAGGGCAUCUUCAUUGUUGUUCUAGUUCUAGUUAUAUCCCCCAUAAUUGUUGUUGUUAUUAUGCUCCUCUCAUUUUAUGAAAGAAGACAAUUUGAUUUGAAUUAUUAAUCAUUUAUUUGUU